ACAGAAUUCAAACGAAAACAAACAAAACAACUUAGUAACCUCAAAAUUUUUAGCUUUGAAAAUGCUCUUAAUUUUAAAUGUGUUAUAGUAAAAUCAAAAAAUAUUCUAACCCAUUUGCUGUCUUGCCCAUUGGAGACAUCACAAAUUAACUGUCACAGCUGGUGACCCGCGAGCAAGCGACGUAAAGCUGUCCGUGUGAGAAGCAAAUCGUCCUGAGGUCGAAAUGAAAAGUUGUUGGGAAUGAGGGGAAUGCGCGGUAUAAAAACAAUUUCACCAGCUCCACAACCAUGUAAGGGAUCUGGUUGCAAAGAUAGUAAGGACCCAGUGGACAUAACUGACAAAUUUAUCAAAGUGCCAGUACCGAAAAGAAAAUUCUUGAUGCGGCUCAAGGGUAGCACGUCUGUUUAUCUUAAAUAAAAUCUCAUGUUCCACUCGUGA